UUAAGAGAAUUAAGGGCACACGGUGGAUGCCUAGGUAAUAAGAGCCGAUGAAGGACGUGGUAAGCUGCGAUAAGCCUGGAGUAGUUGCAAUCGAACUUUGAUCCCAGGAUUUCCCAAUGGAGAAAUCUGCUAAGAUGGAGUCUUAGCGUGAAAACGGUAACCUGAUGAACUGAAACAUCUAAGUAGUCAGAGGAAAAGAAAGUAAAAACGAUUCCCUAAGUAGCGGCGAGCGAACGGGGACAAAGCCUAAAUCAUGUAAGUGUCAAGGAUGCAGCCGUUGCUUGCAUGAGGUAGUGGGAAGUUGCUUGAAGAACUGCAAGUUAUUCAGCGAUGUUAUUUCAACCAAUUAGAAUAAGCUGGAAAGCUUAACCAUAGAAGGUGAUAGUCCUGUAUAGGUAAAUUGGAAUAUGCGCGUGACUCUCCCGAGUAGCACGGAACACGAGGAAUUCUGUGUGAAUCUGCGAGGACCAUAUCUCGUAAGGCUAAAUACUCUUAUUAACCGAUAGCGUAUAGUACCGUGAGGGAAAGGUGAAAAGAACCCCGGGAGGGGAGUGAAAUAGAACCUGAAAUCGUGUGCUUACAAGCGGUCAGAGCCCUUCGGGGUGAUGGCGUGCCUUUUGGAGAAUGAUCCUGCGAGUUACGUUCAGUGGCGAGGUUAAGUAUACCGGAGCCGCAGGGAAACCGAGUCUUAAUAGGGCGCAUAGUCGCUGGGCGUAGACGCGAAACUUGGUGAUCUAAUCCUGUCCAGGGUGAAGCUGUGGUAAGACACAGUGGAGGCCCGAACUCACCGCCGUUGAAAAGUUGGGAGAUGAGAUAGGUUUAGGGGUGAAACGCCAAUCGAACUAAGAGAUAGCUCGUUCUCUCCGAAAUGCAUUUAGGUGCAGCCUUAGGAGAUAAAUUACGGGGGUAGAGCACUGAAUGGUCUAGGGGGCAUAUUGCUUACUGAAACCAACCAAACUCCGAAUACCGUAAUUCCCAUCCUAGGAGUGAGACUAUGGGUACUAAGAUCCAUGGUCAAAAGGGAAACAACCCAGACCGUCAGCUAAGGUCCCUAAUUAUAGCUAAGUGGGAAAGGAGGUGGAGAUUCACAAACAACCAGGAGGUUGGCUUAGAAGCAGCCAUACCUUUAAAGAGUGCGUAAUAGCUCACUGGUCGAGAGUCUCUGCGCCGACAAUGUAACGGGGCUAAGCUAUAAACCGAAGCUACGGAAUUAUGCGUAUGCAUAAUUGGUAGGAGAGCGUUCUGUAGGCUGUUGAAGGAGGACUGAUAAGGAACUCUGGAGGUAUCAGAAGUGAGAAUGCAGGAAUAAGUAGCGAGAAAGAGGGUGAGAAUCCUUCUCGCCGGAAGACCAAGGUUUCCAGGGUAAAGCUUGUCUUCCCUGGGUAAGCCGGGACCUAAGCUGAGGCUAUAAUGCGUAGGCGAAUGGAAAACAGAUUAAUAUUUCUGUGCCACUUAUAUAUUGUGAAGGAGGGACGCAGAAGGGUAUGUAAGCAGGAGAACGGAAGUUCCUGUGUAAGCAUGUAGAGUGAAACGGCAGGCAAAUCCGCUGUUUUAGACUUGAGGUGUGAUGCGUAGCCCAUUAGGGCGAAUUUACAGAUCCCACGCUGCCAAGAAAAGCUUCUAGCGUUAAUAUAUAAGUGCCCGUACUGUAAACCGACACAGGUGGUCAGAAUGAGAAAUUUAAGGCGGACAGGCUAACUCUCGCUAAGGAACUCUGCAAAAUGAAUCCGUAACUUCGGGAGAAGGAUUGCCCCUUUGUGUAGAGAGCUGUGCGCUCAAAGCAUGAGGGGGUCGCAGUGAAGAGGCUCAGGCAACUGUUUAACAAAAACAUAGGUCUAUGCUAAGCUGUAAGGCGAUGUAUAUGGGCUGACACCUGCCCAGUGCCGGAAGGUUAAGAGGAGGAGUGAGAGCUCCGAAUUGAAGCCCCGGUGAACGGCGGCCGUAACUAUAACGGUCCUAAGGUAGCGAAAUUCCUUGUCGGGUAAG
rnacentral:rRNA from 1 species